GUGGGUUGCCAUUUCCUACUCCAAGGGAUCUUCCCAACCCAGGGAUUGAACCCAGGUCUCCUGCAUUUCAGCCAUGAAAGGACUUGGACAGACCACCCUGACUUUUGGAGAGAAAACAACAUCUGAGCGAGUGAGUGCUGCCUAAAGAAUUCUUCCCCACUAAGCAGAAGCCCCAAGGUCAUCGCAGAACUUUAAGUAGAGUUUCCUGUGCCAUACGCAUGGUCUACUCUACAAGGUGUGAGACAUUUCUAUCUUGACCACAUUCAGUCCAAAGGCCCUCACUAUGCAUGGAAGAAACAAAACGAUAUAAAACAGUUCUUAUUCCUAGGAGCAGACAACUUACUUGGGGAAAACUCAUGAAUCAGAUCACAAGGAGGUAAUGGCUUGACGAUUUUCAGCUUCAACCCAGUAAUCAAGGAACUACCCUUCCUCUUACACUAGGGGGUGCGUGAGGACUAAGAUUCAGAAUCUUCUCGGCCAUCUUCUCCACAGUGAUUUGUGUCAGCUACUGCCCCCUUUCUUCAGAACUGGUUUUCCAGUGUCAUGACUUGGAAGAGGGAAAAGAAUUCCCGGAAACCUCCCCUACCUCACAAACCAGGCAUGUCCUCCACCGGGUUGCUCUGCCCUCUUCACCACGGGACAGGCACACCCUGACCUACCCACAGGGCGCAGCAUUUCUGGGGCAUCCUGCCCAGAACUGGGGACCCACAGAAGAAAAGAGAAGCACUGCUUUAAACACAGGACAGGUCAGAAGACUAUAGCACAUACUGCUACUUUCUUGUCUGAGUUUCUUGUUAUAUAUGGUUAUGCAGUCUUGAGGGUUUCUGACACACAUCUUCCUCUCUUCAGAGUCCCAGGUUUCAAAUGUUUCAGAAAAUCACG
ensembl:lncRNA